ensembl:lncRNA
GGCUCCAGGGAGAGGCCGGAGUCCGAUUCUCCCCUGGGGCUUCCAGAAGGGGCGCGCCCCACCCACACUUUGAUCAUUAGCCCAAAGAGGGCUAGGUUGGACAUCUGACCUCCAGAACUGCACAUGGGAUCCUAGCUCACCAAGCAGGCGUUGAACCCACAACCCCUGCGCUGGAAGGGGAAGGCUACCUACAGGAGCGCCAGGGAGGCCCCAGGCUCAUACUGUUCUAAGUUCCGAGGAGCAGAAUCGCAAGAACCUGCCCGACAGCUCUCCAGAACUGCUGCACUUCUGUCAGGAAUUAAACAAGAGAACCAAAGCAAAUGUUUGAGGCGCUGCUCCUUCACCAACACUGACUGUUCUUUGUAAAGGGUAAAUACCCAAAGAAUGGGAAGCAGAGACUCAGAUCCCUGUCCACCAGCGCCCACAGCAACACUGCUCACAGUGACCGAGAGCCGGAAACGACUCGCGUUCAUAACAGCUGAGUGAGUACAGAGGAACAGACUGCAAUGGAAUAUUAUUCAGCUAUAAAGACAGGGAGGUUCUACUACGUGCUGCAACGUGGAUGAAACUCGAAAGCAUUAUGCUAAGUGAAAUAAGCCAGACACGAAAGAACAGACGUUGCACGAUGCCACUAACCUGAAGUGAUACAGAACAGGUGGAUUCAGAGAGAAGGAAGGUGUAGAAUCUUCUCCAGAAAACCUACGGAAUGGAAGUUGCAGAAAUGAGGCCCAGAGACAUCAGCAAGCCUCAGUUCACACGGUUAAAUAAGGAGCAGAGCAGAAAACCAGACGCGGAGUCUCAGACUCAAAGUUCAGCCACUGUUCUGUCAGUCCAGUCGGUGUCAGGCAACCGGCUUUGCUUGUCAUCAGGUUGAUAAGUAUUAUACUUUUGUUUCUGGGGCUUUUAACGUUUCUAUUUUAAGAG